GACGAACGCUGGCGGCGUGCUUAACACAUGCAAGUCGAACGGAAAGGCCCUGCUUUUGUGGGGUGCUCGAGUGGCGAACGGGUGAGUAACACGUGAGUAACCUGCCCUUGACUUUGGGAUAACUUCAGGAAACUGGGGCUAAUACCGGAUAGGAGCUCCUGCUGCAUGGUGGGGGUUGGAAAGUUUCGGCGGUUGGGGAUGGACUCGCGGCUUAUCAGCUUGUUGGUGGGGUAGUGGCUUACCAAGGCUUUGACGGGUAGCCGGCCUGCGAGGGUGACCGGCCACAUUGGGACUAAGAUACGGCCCAGACUCCUACGGGAGGCAGCAGUGGGGAAUAUGGCACAAUGGGCGGAAGCCUGAUGCAGCAACGCCGCGUGCGGGAUGACGGCCUUCGGGUUGUAAACCGCUUUCGCCUGUGACGAAGCGUGAGUGACGGUAAUGGGUAAAGAAGCACCGGCUAACUACGUG
rnacentral:rRNA from 1 species